rnacentral:tRNA from 1 species
CAAAAGCUAGUUUAAGCGGUAAAAUACAAGUUUUGGGGACUUGUGACGGGGUGAGUAACCUCGCUUUUGA